GAAGGAAGGGAGGGAAAAGAAGAAAGAGGAAGGAAGGAAGGAAGAAAAAAAAAAAGAAACUCUCCAGCUGCUAGUCUAUACUUUAUCUAGGAAUGAGUAUGCCAUAACACCAUUUGAUGCCAUGCUUAAAGGGCAAAUGGCCAAAUUAAUUUCGGUGACAAACAGAUCUUGUAUAAAGCUACACUUUGGCUGAAAGACAGUAUAGAUUGCCAAGAGUCCGUCAAAGGAAAAGAAUUAGUGGAUCUGGG
rnacentral:lncRNA from 1 species